rnacentral:rRNA from 1 species
GAUGAACGCUGACAGAAUGCUUAACACAUGCAAGUCGACUCGAGUCUUCGGACUUGGGUGGCGCACGGGUGAGUAACGCGUAAAGAACUUGCCUCUUAGACCGGGACAACAUCUGGAAACGGAUGCUAAUACCGGAUAUUAUGGUUUUUUCGCAUGGAGGAAUCAUGAAAGCUAGAUGCGCUAAGAGAGAGCUUUGCGUCCCAUUAGCUAGUUGGUGAGGUAACGGCCCACCAAGGCAAUGAUGGGUAGCCGGCCUGAGAGGGUGAACGGCCACAAGGGGACUGAGACACGGCCCUUACUCCUACGGGAGGCAGCAGAGGGGAAUAUUGGACAAUGGACCACAAGUCUGAUCCAGCAAUUCUGUGUGCACGAUGACGUUUUUCGGAAUGUAAAGUGCUUUCAGUCGGGAAGAAGUCAGUGACGGUACCGACAGAAGAAGCGACGGCUAAAUACGUGCCAGCAGCCGCGGUAAUACGUAUGUCGCAAGCGUUAUCCGGAUUUAUUGGGCGUAAAGCGCGUCUAGGCGGCAAGGAAAGUCUGAUGUGAAAAUGCGGAGCUCAACUCCGUAUGGCGUUGGAAACUGCCUUACUAGAGUACUGGAGAGGUAGGCGGAACUACAAGUGUAGAGGUGAAAUUCGUAGAUAUUUGUAGGAAUGCCGAUGGGGAAGCCAGCCUACUGGACAGAUACUGACGCUAAAGCGCGAAAGCGUGGGUAGCAAACAGG